AAACAUCGAGGCUCCAGCCUCCAGCAGCGCUGAGCGCCGACGCCUCCGCCUCCUUCCCGAAGGAAAAAAAAAUCGCCCCUCCUCUGCACGGCCAUUGCCCAAGUACGUCUCAUCUCCGUGGCUGUUGUCCACACGCAGGUCCCCUGCCAUCUCGCGCCGCUCGAGUUUCGGCCCUGAUUGUCUACCCCUCCAGUUUGUGAUUCCACGUUUCCGGUGAUGUUCUCUUUCCCAUCUGAACAGAUCGAUCUUGAGGCACCUUGUUGAAUUUGUAGCGCCCUCCACUCAAUGGUGGUUAGGGUUUUGGUAUUGGCGAUUGUUUCCCCCUACUGGUUUGGAGAUUUUCUCUCCUGCCAAUUUCGUCACCACCAAGGUGAAUUGAUUUAGGGCCCUUUUUCCCUCACAAUUGAUUUCUUCUUCUUCUAUUCUGGUCUUAUUGGCAAGAUUUGGGCUUUCUUCUUCUAUUCUGGUUUGGAGAUUUUGGCUGCCAGGAUUUAUUGAUGCAAUCCACUCUUCCUUCUGUUAUUCUUCACUAACCGAUUUGUUUCAUUUGAAUCUUUGCAUUGCAGUGACAUGUUCGCAGGAGAGGUCCUGGUGGUAUUCACAGAGAUUUCAUCUUUGGAGCAUCAGCACGUCUAUUUUCUAUUCUGGAUAGUAUGUGCUCGGCAAGGUAUGCAUCUUCGAUCCAAAAGUGAGCAUCCCUUUGUUAUAGAAUUCUGUUUAGAAACUGAUGGGUUUGGAAUCAUAUGUUUGUUCGAUUUACUUGAAUGAAAGAACAGAGGGUGAUGAUACUUAGUAAUUUAGAAUGUGCUUGUGCCUUGUUAACCAGUUUUUACUGCUUGGCAAAAUAAAAAUGCUGGUUAUCCCAUAUGCAGUUUUUUUAGUGUCUCAUAGCAGGGCUCUGGCUUUAAGUGCAGUUAAUCUCAGUGCAGAGUGUUACUGGGGAAAGAAAAACCAGCAAUUCAGUGACGAUAGAAAGUGCCAAUAUUCUACCUCAUAGAUAGGGAUUAGUUCUUAAUUUGACAAUGUCAUAAAUUGUUUGGUUUCGGGUUUAUUUUUAUGGUUAACUUCUGUAAAUCAUAUAUUUCAUAGGUUUACUUCUGCCAACAUUUACUCAUCAAUAUCACUACUGUUCCUUGCUUCAUUGCAGGAACUAAAUCUGUAGCAACAAGAAAGGGUAAACUGUCUUUUUUUGGUGUUCGAAUCUCUUCAGUUCCUUGUUUACUUGUAAAUUAGUUGUGUAUAUAAUGUGUGGCUCGAGGUAUUGCUGUGAGCUUUUAUAUACAGAAACGGUGUCUGGGAUUUAAACCUCAAGGUAAGGAAGAGCACAUCUUAAUUGCAACUGAAAAGAACUACAGUGUAUUUUUCCUGCAAAUAAAUUUUCUUCUCAUAUCUUUUUUUUUUCCCUAGAAAUUUUUGGAUUAACUGACCAACAUCUUAAGGUACUAAAGAACAGAAUUUUAGCUCAAAAGAAAGGUGAUGUUCCAUCAUAUUGUCAUAAUAUCUAGCUGUUUUCAGUCAUUCCUAAAGCUAAUCUAAAAGGAAGAACAUAAAAGUCAGGGUCUUUUGUGUAGCUACAGCCUACAAGAUUGGUUACUUUACUGUUGUGGUUUGCAAUAUUUGACUAUGAACCUCACUCUGUUUUACCUAGCUGUUGGGAUCUUAGGGUACCUGGUUAUAUUCAUGCCAUCACAACACUACCAAAGAUCAUUGCAAGCAUGAUGUUGACAGAUUACCUUUCUAAAAGUCCACUGCCAAUGUUAUUACUGAAUUUCAUUGGUUUGCACCUCGAUCUCCAUAUCCUUCUUAUUCUUUUGGCUUGGGGUUUCACUUUUUCAGAAUUGGAGUAAGAUGCCUAAUUCAUGUCGCGUUUCCCUCCUAACAAGUUGGGAGUGGCAUUCUUUGCAGAUUCUAACACCGAAUUUGUUACAAUGAACUUUGGAGGCAUUGAAGAAGUCCAAGUAUCCAUUAAGAAAUUUUGGGAUGCCUGCCCUUAAUGAAGGUAUUAGAGACCAAGAUAUCUCCAAUGAAGGGUAGUGUCCAAUCAUAUCUGCCUUUUUCCCAGUCAUUUCUAAACCUAAGUAAAAUGAAGAGCAAAAAAAAAAGGCUAAGAUUUUUAGCCACAAGAUUGAUGAUUCUGCUGUUGCUUCCAGCUUGAAUUAUUUACAAAAAUUUCUUCUUCUCUGCAGGAUCUCAGGCUAUGGUUGGCUUUUCGGUAAGCUAGUCAAUACCUGUCUGAGAGCCCCCUGGAGCUCCUAUAUCAUGUCAAGUCUGUAUGUUGUAAUAGCACUCAAAGACUGUUUCCAUCCAUGCUAUCAAAUCUAUCCUUGUCAACCAUAGAAGACUGCCACUUAGUUACGUUAAAAAAAAAUAUUUGUAUCUGUCCGUAGCUAUGUUGUAAACUAUAUGUGCUUCUUCGGACUAAACUACUGUGGGACCCUCGUCAUGUAACUUAUCUUGAA